ACGGGGAGCACCACAACGGGUGGAGCUUGCGGUUUUAAUUGGAUUCAACGCCGGAAAUCUUACCGGGACCGACAGCAAUAUGAAGGCCAGGCUGAAGACUUUGCCGGAUUAGCUGAGAGGUGGUGCAUGGCCGUCGUCAGUUCGUACUGUGAAGCAUCCUGUUAAGUCAGGCAACGAGCGAGACCCACGCCCACAGUUGCCAGCGUACUCUCUGGAGUGACGGGUACACUGUGGGACCGCCGCUGCUAAAGCGGAGGAAGGAAUGGGCAACGGUAGGUCAGUAUGCCCCGAAUAUCCCGGGCUACACGCGAGCUACAAUGGUUGGUACAAUGGGUAUCUACCCCGAAAGGGGACGGGAAUCUCCUAAAACCAAUCUUAGUUCGGAUUGAGGGCUGCAACUCGCCCUCAUGAAGCUGGAAUCCGUAGUAAUCGCGUUUCAACAGAACGCGGUGAAUACGUCCCUGCUCCUU
rnacentral:rRNA from 1 species